rnacentral:rRNA from 1 species
GAUGAACGCUAGCGGCAGGCCUAAUACAUGCAAGUCGAACGGUGUCUUCGGACAUAGUGGCGCACGGGUGCGUAACACGUAUGCAACCUACCUUACAUGGGGGGAUAGCCUUUCGACAGGGAGAUUAAUACCGCAUAAGACAGUAGCUGGGCAUCCAGCAGCUGUUAAAGAUUUAUCGAUGUAAGCUGGGCAUGCGUCCAAUUAGCUAGUUGGUGAGGUAACGGCUCACCAAGGCAAUGAUUGGUAGGGGAACUGAGAGGUCAAUCCCCCACACUGGCACUGAGAUACGGGCCAGACUCCUACGGGAGGCAGCAGUAGGGAAUAUUGGGCAAUGGACGCAAGUCUGACCCAGCCAUGCCGCGUGCAGGAUGAAGGCGUUAUGCGUUGUAAACUGCUUUUAUACAGGAAGAAACGACUCUUGCGAGAGGCAUUGACGGUACUGUAUGAAUAAGCACCGGCUAACUCCGUGCCAGCCGCCGCCGUAAUAC